AGUGAACGCCGGCGGUAUGCCUAACACAUGCAAGUCGAACGGCAGCACAGGAGAGCUUUCUCUCUGGGUGGCGAGUGGCGGACGGGUGAGGAAUACAUCGGAAUCUAGUCUGUAGUGGGGGAUAACGUGGGGAAACUUAGUCGAAUACCGCUUACGACCUACGGUUGAAAGCAGGGGCCCUUCGGGCCUUGCUCGAUUGCAUGAGCCGAUGUCGGAUUUGCUAGUUGGCGGGGUAAAGGCCCACCAAGGCGACGAUCCGUAGCUGGCCUUGGAGGAUGAUCAGCAACACUGGAACUGAGACACGGUCCAGACUCCUACGGGAGGCAGCAGUGGGGAAUAUUGGACAAUGGGCGCAAGCCUGAUCCAGCCAUACCGCGUGGGUGAAGAAGGACUUCGGGUUGUAAAGCCCUUUUGUUGGGAAAGAAAUCCAGCUGGCUAAUAACCGGUUGGGAUGACGGUACCCAAAGAAUAAGCACCGGCUAACUUCGUGCCAGCAGCCGCAGUAA
rnacentral:rRNA from 1 species